rnacentral:rRNA from 1 species
AUUGAACGCUGGCGGCAGGCUUAACACAUGCAAGUCGAGCGAGAGGCGGACGGGUGAGUAAUGUCUGGGAAACUGCCUGAUGGAGGGGGAUAACUACUGGAAACGGUAGCUAAUACCGCAUACCAUCAGAUGUGCCCCGAGGGGAUUAGCUUGUAGGUGGGGUAAUGGCUCACCUAGGCGACGAUCCCUAGCUGGUCUGAGAGGAUGACCAGCCACACGGGAACUGAGACACGGCCCAGACUCCUACGGGUGGCAGCAGUGGGGAAUAUUGCACAAUGGGCGCAAGCCUGAUGCAGCCAUGCCGCGUGUAUGAAGAAGGCCUUCGGGUUGUAAAGCACUUUCAGCGAGGAGGCGUUACUCGCAGAAGAAGCACCGGCUAACUCCGUGCCAGCCGCCGCGGUAAUUC